rnacentral:rRNA from 1 species
UGGGGAAUAUUGCACAAUGGGCGAAAGCCUGAUGCAGCAACGCCGCGUGAGGGACGACGGCCUUCGGGUUGUAAACCUCUUUUAGCAAGGAAGAAGCGAAAGUGACGGUACUUGCAGAAAAAGCGCCGGCUAACUACGUGCCAGCAGCCGCGGUAAUACGUAGGGCGCAAGCGUUAUCCGGAAUUAUUGGGCGUAAAGGGCUCGUAGGCGGUUUGUCGCGUCUGCUGUGAAAAACCCGAGGCUCAACCUCGGGCCUGCAGUGGGUACGGGCAGACUAGAGUGCGGUAGGGGAGAUUGGAACUCCUGGUGUAGCGGUGGAAUGCGCAGAUAUCAGGAAGAACACCGAUGGCGAAGGCAGAUCUCUGGGCCGUAACUGACGCUGAGGAGCGAAAAGGGUGGGGAGCAAAACAGGCUUAGAUACCCUGGUAGUCCACCCGUAAACGUUGGGAACUAGUUGUGGGGUCCAUUCCACGGAUUCCGUGACGCAGCUAACGCAUUAAGUUCCCCGCCUGGGGAGUACGGCCGC